rnacentral:rRNA from 1 species
UACGUAGGGUGCAAGCGUUGUCCGGAAUUAUUGGGCGUAAAGAGCUCGUAGGCGGUUUGUCGCGUCUGCUGUGAAAUCCCGAGGCUCAACCUCGGGCCUGCAGUGGGUACGGGCAGACUAGAGUGCGGUAGGGGAGACUGGAAUUCCUGGUGUAGCGGUGAAAUGCGCAGAUAUCAGGAGGAACACCGGUGGCGAAGGCGGGUCUCUGGGGCAGUAACUGACGCUGGAGGGAGCGAAAAGCGUGGGGAGCGAACAGG